rnacentral:rRNA from 1 species
GGCGGCACGCCUAACACAUGCAAGUCGAACGAAGUAGCAAUACUUAGUGGCAGACGGGUGAGUAACAUGUAGGUAUCUGCCCUUUGGCCUGGAAUAACACGAGGAAACUUGUGCUAAUACCGGAUAAGUCUUUACGGAGAAAGCUUUAUGCACCAUUGGAUGAGCCUGCACUUGAUUAGUUUGUUGGUGGGGUAAUGGCCUACCAAGACUGUGAUCAAUAGCUGAUUUGAGAGGAUGAUCAGCCACAUUGGGACUGAGACACGGCCCAAACUCCUACGGGAGGCAGCAGUGGGGAAUCUUGCACAAUGGAGGAAACUCUGAUGCAGCGAUGCCGCGUGAGUGAAGAAGGCCCUUGGGUUGUAAAGCUCUUUCGUCGGGGAAGAAAAUGACUGUACCCGAAUAAG